rnacentral:rRNA from 1 species
UGGAGCUCGCAUGCGAGUUCUAUCGGGUAAAGCCAAUGAUUAGAGGUUCGGGGGUGUAACGCCCUCGACCUAUUCUCAAACUUUAAAUAGGUAGGAUGGCGCGACUGCUUUGUUGAGCCACGCCACGAAAUCAAGAGCUCCAAGUGUGCCAUUUUUGGUAAGCAGAAUUGGCGAUGUGGGAUGAACCAGAAGCUGGGUUAUGGUGCCAAACUGCUCACUAACCUAGAUCCCACAAAGGGUAUUGGUCGAUUAAGACAGCAGGACGGUGGUCAUGGAAGUCAAAAUCCGCUAAGGAGUGUGUAAUAACUCACCUGCUGAAUCAACUAGCCUCGAAAAUGGAUGGCGCUUAAGCGCGCGAUCUACACCCGGCCGUGGGGCAAAUUCCAGGCCUUGAUGAGUAGGAGGGUGCGACAGUCGCUGCAAAACCUUGGGCAUGAGCCUGGGCGGAGCGUCCAUCGGUGGUAAUAGCAAAUAUUCAAAUGAGAACUUUGAAGGCUGAAGAGAGGAAAUGUUCCAUGUGAACGACACUUGCACAUGGGUUAGUUGAUCCUAAGGGUCGAGGAAACCAUGACAGAUAGCGCAUUUUGCGCGUUCUUCAAAAGGGAAUCGGGUUAAAUCUCCUAAACCAGGACGUGGCAGUUGACGACAAUGUUAGGAAGUUUAGACACAUUAGCGGGAACCUCGGGAAGAUUUAUCUUUUCUUUUUAACAACCUGCCCGCACAGGAAUCGACUCAGCCGGAGGUAGGGUCCAACGGUUGCAAGAGCACCGCACAUCGCAUGGUUUCCGUUGCACUCUCGGGUUCUUGAAAAUCCGAAGGACCUAAUGUCGUCCACGCCUGGUUGUACUCAUAACCACAUCAGGUCUCCAAGGUGAACAACCUAUGGUCGAUAGAACAAUGUAGGCAAAAGAAGUUAGCAAAAUGGAUCCGUAACUUCGGGAAAUGGAUUGGCUUUGAGGGCUGGGGACGGGGGUCCCAGUCCCAAACCCAUCGGCAGUCGAUGGACUGCUCGAGCUGAUCUCGUGAUGAAAACGGGUCACCGCGUGUCAACUAGGGGACGGUCUUGGAAUGGUUCCUUCGGGGUUCUUUCCCGAGCAUCGAACAACCAACUCAGAACUGGUACAACCAAGGGGAAUUCGACUGUUUAAUUAAAACAAAGAAUUUCGAUGAUCCAAACAGAUGUUUACGCAAUGUGAUUUCUUCCCAGUGCUCUGAAUGUCAAAGUGAAGAAAUUCAACCAACCGCGGGUAAACGGCGGGAGUAACUAUGACUCCUUUAAAGUAGCCAAAUUCCUUGUCAUCUAAUUAGUGACGCGCAUGAAUGGAUUAACGAGAUCCCCAAUGUCCCUGUCUACUAUCCAGCGAAACCACAACCAAGGGCGUUGGCUUGGAAAAAUCAGCGGGGAAACAAGCCCCUGUUGAGAUUGACUCUAGUCCGACUUUGUGAAAUGACUUGAAGGUGUAGUAUAAGUGGGAGCCAAAAGGCGAAAGUGAAAUAUCACUACUUUUAAUGUUAUUUUACUUAUUCCGUGGAUCGGAAGCGGGGCACUACCCCUCUUUUUGGACCCAAGGAUCGCUUCACAGGCCGAUCCAGGAUGAAGACAUUUUUAGGUGGGGAGUUUGGAUGGAGCGGCACAUAAGUUAAAAGAUAACACAGGUGUCCUAAGAUGAGCUCAACAAGAACAGAAAAUCUUGUGUGGAACAGAAGGGUAAAAGCUCAUUUGAUUCUGAUUUCCAGUACUAACACGAAUUAUGAAAGUAUGGCCUAACGAUCCUUUAGACCUUUGGAAUUCGAAGCUAGAGGUGUCACAAAAUUUACCAAAGGGAUAACUGGCUUGUGUAAGCCAAGCGUUUAUAGCGAUGUUUCUUUUUUAUCCUUCGAUGUCGACUCUUCCUAUCAUUGUGAAGCAGAAUUCACCAAGUGUUGGAUUGUUCACCUACCAAUAGGGAACGUGAGCUGGGUUUAGACCGUCCUAAGACAAGUUAGUUUUACCCUACUGAUGACAGUGUUGCAAUAGCAAUUCAACCAAGUACUAGAGGAACCAUUGGUUCACACAAUUGGCCAUCGCGCUUGGUUGAAAAACCAGUGGCGCGAAAUAUUACUUAUUAGUGAUGCAAAUCUCCUGCUUAUUUUUAUUGUUGUGGGAAUGAAAUUUUUCAAAAUAGUUUGAUCAAAUUACACGGUUUCUCUUGGAGAUUUGGCAGUUCAUUUUUCUAAUCUCUUAAACCCAUGGACAGAGCUUAUGUAUGGAUAAAUAAGAGUUUCAUCAGUUUCUGUGCGGAAGAACGUUGUAUUGGCACUUUCUCAGAUUAUAUUAAAUGACAUGAUGAUCGAUUU